rnacentral:rRNA from 1 species
UCAGGAUGAACGCUGGCGGCGUGCCUAACACAUGCAAGUCGAGCGGAGAGCCGUACGGAAGCCUUCGGCGGAAGAUGCGGUACUUAGCGGCGGACGGGUGAGUAACGCGUGGAGUAACCUGGCUCAUACAGGGGGAUAACAGAGAGAAAUCUCUGCUAAUACCGCAUAAGCGCACAGUGCUGCAUGGCACAGUGUGAAAAGCCGAGACGGUAUGAGAUGGAUCCGCGUCCGAUUAGCCAGUUGCGGGGUAAGGCCCACCAAAGCGACGAUCGGUAGCCGGCCUGAGAGGGCGGACGGCCACAUUGGGACUGAGACAGGCCCAGACUCCUACGGGAGGCAGCAGUGGGGGAUAUUGCACAAUGGAGGGAACUCUGAUGACCAGCGACGCCGCGUGGGUGAAGAAGUAUUUCGGUAUGUAAAGCCCUAUCAGCAGGGACGAUGAUGACGGUACCUGACUAAGAAGCCCCGGCUAACUACGUGCCAGCAGCGGC